GAUUUAAUAAAAGCCAAGAUGCGGCUUCAGCUUCUUCUCCGUCACCGUCGGCAUCGUUGAGGUCAUCGUCAUCGUCGCUGUUAGAUUUGUUGGGGACGAGAAGGUUAACUGCGUUGGACUUGACGACUGAGGCAGCGGGUUCGAAGAAGGGCACGACUGGAAAUCGUUCGUGUAGGCAAAUAAGUGAGUUUGCUGAGUGAAUAUCACGGUCACAGGUGACACAUAGAGCUACGGCAUCAGCUUUGCAGGU